rnacentral:rRNA from 1 species
AUUGAACGCUGGCGGCAGGCCUAACACAUGCAAGUCGAGCGGUAGAGAGGUGCUUGCAUCUCUUGAGAGCGGCGGACGGGUGAGUAAUGCCUAGGAAUCUGCCUAGUGGUGGGGGAUAACGUUCGGAAACGGACGCUAAUACCGCAUACGUCCUACGGGAGAAAGCGGGGGAUCUUCGGACCUCGCGCCAUUAGAUGAGCCUAGGUCGGAUUAGCUAGUUGGUGAGGUAAUGGCUCACCAAGGCGACGAUCCGUAACUGGUCUGAGAGGAUGAUCAGUCACACUGGAACUGAGACACGGUCCAGACUCUACGGGAGGCAGCAGUGGGGAAUAUUGGACAAUGGGCGAAAGCCUGAUCAGCCAUGCCGCGUGUGUGAAGAAGGUCUUCGG